AGGGGUGUAGCUCAGUUGGUUGAGCAGCCAUCUAGCAAUUAGCUGGUUGAGGGUUCAACUCUCCUGUCUUG
rnacentral:tRNA from 1 species